rnacentral:ncRNA from 1 species
UAAUUGAAGAGUUUGAUCAUGGCUCAGAUUGAACGCUGGCGGCAGGCUUAACACAUGCAAGUCGAGCGGUAGCACAGGGGAGCUUGCUCCCUGGGUGACGAGCGGCGGACGGGUGAGUAAUGUCUGGGAAACUGCCUGAUGGAGGGGGAUAACUACUGGAAACGGUAGCUAAUACCGCAUAACGUCGCAAGACCAAAGUGGGGGACCUUCGGGCCUCACACCAUCGGAUGUGCCCAGAUGGGAUUAGCU